rnacentral:rRNA from 1 species
UCACUUUCACAACGGAUCUCUUGGCUCUCGCAUCGAUGAAGAACGUAGCGAAGUGCGAUAGUAUGUGAAUGCAAUCUGAAUCAUCGACUUGAA